UAUUUGCUUGUGGACUUCACAAUGGAUCCUCCAUCUGGGGUUGCCACCAGUUUGUACUCAUAACAUAUCUUCUCCAAUGGCUCCGACAAUGCACUGCCUUCAAUCACACUAUAGUUGUACACAUAGUUUUCUGUGUCAAUUGCAUCUACGUGGUGCUUCACAUAACCUAAACCUGUUCACAUUUCACACGUACACACACAUAUAUAUAUAUAUACACACAUGGAAUGAGUUAUAUUAACGAGUGUAAAUACAAGCACAAUGAAACCACCAUGAAUGCUUCGGAAGAGAAAUCUAUUAAUUAAGAGUAACGUUAUAUCCUCCGACUAUAUAUAUCUUAGUAUAAAAAAGUAUUAAAUGAAAAAAAAUAAAGUAUAUUUAAUGUCUUCUAAAUAUAGAACACAUAUUUAAUAUUUAUUUACUAUACAAAGGAAGUAGAAAUAUCGUUGAAGGAUUUAAAAUUAUUGUAUCUCUUAAUUGUUCCAUAAAUGGUUAAAAUUAAUUACUAAUAUUUACCUUCAGCAAGAGUAAGCUUCUUAAUGGUUCCUGGCCCUCCAUCUCCUUCAAUGGUUUCUACGCUCUUAAUGAAAUUUGGCAAUGCUUUUGGGAAGACAUUGCUGGCAUCUAGGACAAUAGCUUUGUAUAAUUUUGCAGCAGAGACGGGGGAAACGUGUUCGCUUUCAGAAGUGAAAACACCCAUGAUUUUUUUUACCCAAGAUAAAAAAAUAAAAAUAAAACUAAAAGAAAGGAUGAGAUAGAAGAAAAUAUUUUGCUCUCUUAGGGUGUGAGUUUAUGGAUUUUGGUAUUGCCUUAAUUUAUA
rnacentral:lncRNA from 1 species